CGACCCCAGGUCAGGCGGGACCACCCGCUGAGUUUAAGCAUAUCAAUGA
rnacentral:rRNA from 3 species